UACAGAGGCCUCAAGCGUUGUUCGGAUUCAUUGGGCGUAAAGAGCGCGCAGGCGGUCGUUCAAGUCGCGUGUGAAAGCCCCCGGCUCAACUGGGGAGGGUCACGCGAUACUGGUCGACUCGAAGGCAGGAGAGGGUAGUGGAAUUCCCGGUGUAGUGGUGAAAUGCGUAGAUAUCGGAAGGAACAUCAGUGGCGAAAGCGACUUCCUGGACCAAUACUGACGCUCAUGUGCGAAAGCGUGGGGAGCAAACAGGG
rnacentral:rRNA from 1 species